rnacentral:lncRNA from 1 species
UUUGGACUUGGACUUUUGGGUUAAUGCUGAAAUCAGCUAAGACUCUGGGGGGACUGCUGGAAAUGCAUGACUGUGCUCUAAAAUGUGAGGAUAUGAGAUCUGAGAGGGGCCUGGAAUAGAAUGGUAUGGUUUGGUGGUGUCCCCACUCAAAUCUCAUCUUGAAUUGUAGUUCCCAUAAUCCCCAUGUGUGAUAGCGGGGACCCUGUGGGAGAUAAUUGAAUCAUGAGGGCAGUUUCCUCCAUGCUAUUCUCACGAUAGUGAGUACGUUCUCAGGAGACCUGAUGGUUUUAAAUAAUGGGCUUCCCCUUUUACUCAGCUCUCAUUCUUCUCUUUCUUGCCAUCAUGUGAAGAAAGAUGUGCUUGUUUCCCCUUCCACCAUGAUUAUUACUCAGUCUUGGGCAGUUCUUUACAGCAGCGUGUGAAUGGACUAACACACCAGUUACAUAAAGAAUUGAAAAUAGUCAAACUCCUAGAAGCAGAGAGUGGAAUGGUGAUUACCAGGGGCUUAGGGAAGCAGGAAACCAGGAGGUACACAGCUUCUGCUAUGCAAGACGAUGAUAGAUCCAUGGACAACUCACUGGAUGUGGCCCUGUGAGGCACUAGAGGGAGACUGGGAGGUGGAGAGAAGAAUCAAGCCAGCCUUGUCUUCUCUUUACCCACUUCCAAUGGCAGUGGCUGUGUGAUGGCCUCAGUUUCCCCAGGGAGGCACCCACGGGCAUUUCCCGCGUAAACUCUUAGUCAAUGACUCAAGUCAUGCUAUGAGCAACAAUUUCUGUGUUCCACAUCAUCUACAAGCAACACAAUCUGUGACUCUCCAUCUGCCCCUAGUUAUGCUUUGGCCAGUAAUCCAAUUGCUACCGUCAUGCUUUCCUCUUAAAGAGUCCCUGGAUAUUCCUGCCUAGCUUGAGGGAAGUUACUUCAUUAGGGUGAUUUGGGCACUUGGGGAACCUUUGCCAUCUUUAUGACUUAAAUUUUGACUUACCAAAAUAAAUAAGACAUAUAAGGAAAGAACAUAAAUUUAAUAGAAAAAUUCAACAUAUUUCCCCGUGGAUGUCUUAUUUACAUUAAUUUGGCCUCUCCUUUCUGUCCUACUCACCCCUCCUAAAUAGAAAACAAAGUUAAUUAUUUGAUUGGCUGUAUUAGGGAAAGAAUUAGGGCUGAACCUGUUUGUCUUUUGUUCUCUGUUUAUUUGGAAAUCUGAAAUAGCAUCUAUUCUUGGAUUAUCUGUAUCAUAAAUAUUCAAGGAAGAGCUGGACCUGGCACCACACCAACCAUCAUAUCGUCCUCUUGAGUUGAUCAUUGCCCAUUGGGGAGUGAGAAGCAGGCUAUGAAAGCAAACAGCUUAGCCGUGGUUACUAGACGAGCGGUAAUAUACACCCAGAAGAGAAGGAGAUGGUAGGACCACAGAGAGCAAAGGAUGCAGCCACAGACCAAGGAAUACCACAGGCACCAGAAGCUGGAAGAGCCAAGAAAUGGAUGUUUCCCCAGAGCCUCUGGAGGGAGCAGGCCCUGCUGACACCCUGAGUUUGGCCUAGUGAAACUGACUUCAGACUUCUAGCCUUCAGAACAGGGAAACAAUACAUUUCGGGUUUGUUUAUGGCAAUUUAUCAUAGCAGCGACAGGAAAUUAACUCAUAAAUCACUGGUCCCCAUUUCCUUGCUCAGGUGAAAAAUGUCCCUUGGGUUCACUCUCUUUGGACUUUUGGGGCCCAUUAUGUGCUAGACUGACAACUGCAGGCACAGUCCAUUUUCAUUGCACAGGGGGCAUUGUCUAAACUUACCGGUUUGACUUGACAAAUAAUACAAACAAAAUAAAUUUAGUUUUGACAGACUGAAAUGAAUUGAAUUGGUUGAAGUGAACAUAAAGAACCAUAUGAUUUUUUAAAAAACUACUUCUUAUUUUUUAAAGCCCAACACAGUACUGUGGAUUAUAACAUAUGUAUACAUGUUUGUGGGUAUCUAUACAUGCACAUAUACACACACACACACACACACAUAUAUAUAUAUAUAUAUACACACAUAUAUAUAUGAAUUUUCAACCAAAAUGUGAAGAAAAUUGUAGUUAAAAAUGCCAUAAUUUAUCUUUUACUGGUAAUUUCUAACUUAUCGCUUUAAUUUUCUCUGCCUCCCAAACAUCCUUACUCAAAAAUUGGAGAAGAAAUUUUUAUUUAUCCAUCUAGCUCCUCUUUAUCAUCUUAGUCUGUUCAGCUGCAAUAUCACUACAGCAGGGAUAACACUUUUAAAUAUAAUCUGCUCUAAUCUGCAUAAUUGUCUAACAGAAAACAGACAGGUGGUGCCUUCUCAAUCAGCUUAAGGUCAGUCUCUGAAGCAAACGUCACGAACAUAUGCAAAUCGUCGGCUAAUAUGCUAAAUCAGAGGAUGUGUUUUUAUUAAGAAUUUCGAAUCUGCAAAAUGGUUUCUCCUUGUAUUAUUUUUUCCUGGAAACUUUCAGGUUUUUUCCUUUGUGCUGUAUGUUUAAGCCUGUAUGCUAAUCUUGACUUAAUCCCUAUUCAUCUUUCCAUCAUUAAACACGAUCCUGUCAUUCAGAUGUUUGAAGGCUUAAGAGUGACUGUUUCUACUCUUUUAACUGCAACAAUUUGGCAUCCUGUUUCCCAUAACUGCCAUAUCCAUGUUUUAUGGGAUUUUGAAAAGGUUUCGGGAAGUAUUUUGGACACAGGACAGCCUACUGAAUGAGACUUGGAAAGUGCCCCAAGCAAAGUGGUAGGGGCCAAGAGAAAGCCCAGAAAUGAUUCAUGGUGUGUUCACACCGUGUGGGCUGGCAAGUGCGGGAGACGGCUCUCUGCUAGCAGACUGGAACUAAAUUCUUAGACAUUCCUGGGUUGCCAAACAAUGUCAUCACAGGGGUUCCUAAAGAAGCUGUGAAUUGGAUGUCAGUGUCUUUUGGCUGAAAGGAGAGUUUGUGUCAGACCCCAAGAGGUCUCCUUAGAUACAUUUUUCUAAUUGAGGCUCCUUCUCUUCCCCUGACAAAGAAAAGCAUUGACACCUGUGUAUUCUGCGUGGGGAAGACUUUCAGCUAAGCCAGAUUCCAAGCGGGAGGUUACAGCAGGCUCGGGUGUGGUUUAUUCCCUCUGCCAGUUCAAUACUUUUACCCCACAUUUUCAAAGAAAGUGUGUGUCCUGUCUGGUCCCUGCACACCCUUCCUCCUCACCCAACACUCUGUGGUCCUACAAUUUGACUACUAUUCUUGCUGCUAGAGAGGCCAGGCUACACGGCAUCCAAAGGGGAUCCCAUCGCCACGGCAGACACUUUGGCUACGUCCUGCCCUUCUCUUUCCUUCUCUGACCUUUUAUUUCCAUGGUGAAAAUCCACAGCUCUUUAACACACUCUGCAGCAGCCCAUUUUUAGCUUAAAUAAAAGUGAAGAGAGGAUUUAGUAUUCCAAUCCCACUGCAUUAGUGUCAAAUAUGUUUAUGCUAGUAAGAGGAAAAUAAAUACAUUCUGUCAUACAGAUGCCAUUCAAAUCUAAUGGGACUCAAUUUCAUGCUUUCAAUACUGAGAGGAAGUACCCAGAUUAGCCUCAAAUCAAGAGUGAUUCCUGAAACUUCUCUAUUUGCCACAUGCUAGAUUUCCAGUUUUUUUAUUGUCUUUAUAUAUAUAUUUUUUAAUAGCAACAACACUAGAUACCAUUCUGACAUGCUUUCC